rnacentral:rRNA from 1 species
CACACCGGUUUAAACUCAGAUCAUGUAAAAUUUUAAAGGUCGAACAGACCUAAUCUAUCAGCCUCUUCACCAACAAUUAAUUUUAAUCCAACAUCGAGGUCGCAAUCUUUUUUUUCGAUCAGAGCUCUAAAAAAAAUUACGCUGUUAUCCCUAAGGUAAUUUAUUCUUAUAAUCUAAAUUUUAGGAUCAUAGACUCAUAAAUAAAUGAUUGAAUAUAAAAAAGUUCUUUAAAUUUUCUUAUCACCCCAACAAAAUAUUUUUUCAGCUAGUAUACUUAUAAUCCUUUAUCUUUACUAACUUAAAAAUAUUAAACUCUACAGGGUCUUCUCGUCUUCUAUAAUCAUUUAAGCCUUUUAACUUAAAAAUAAAAUUCUAUUAAAAUUUUACUGAGACAGUAACUUUUUCAUCAAACCCUUCAUUCCAGCUUUCAAUUAAAAAACUAGUGAUUAUGCUACCUUUGCACGGUUAAAAUACCGCGGCCAUUCAACUACUCAUUGGGCAGGUUAGACCUAAAAUCAUACUCAAUAGGCC